UAAUACGUAGGGGCCAAGCGUUGUCCGGAUUUAUUGGGCGUAAAGAGCUCGUAGGCGGUUCGGUAAGUCAGCUGUGAAAUCUCCACGCUCAACGUGGAGGGGUCAGCUGAUACUGCCGUGACUUGAGUCUGGUAGGGGAGUGCGGAAUUCCCGGUGUAGCGGUGAAAUGCGCAGAUAUCGGGAGGAACACCAGUGGCGAAGGCGGCACUCUGGGCCAGUACUGACGCUGAGGAGCGAAAGCGUGGGGAGCGAACAGGAUUAGAUACCCUGGUAGUCCACGCCGUAAACGUUGGGCACUAGGUGUGGGACUCUAUCGACGGGUUCCGUGCCGUAGCUAACGCAUUAAGUGCCCCGCCUGGGGAGUACGGCCGCAAGGCUA
rnacentral:rRNA from 1 species